rnacentral:piRNA from 1 species
GUUCACACUGAGAAAAAAGGACAGUGC